AACGAACGCUGGCGGCAUGCCUAACACAUGCAAGUCGAACGAGACCUUCGGGUCUAGUGGCGCACGGGUGCGUAAGGCGUGGGAACCUGCCCUUAGGGUCGGAAUAACUCCCCGAAUGGGGUGCUAAUACCGGAUAAUGUCUUCGGACCAAAGAUUUAUCGCCCUUGGAUGGGCCCGCGUUGGAUUAGGUAGUUGGUAGGGUAAAAGCCUACCAAGGGGAGGAUCCAUAGCUGGUAUGAGAGGCUGAUCAGCCACACUGGGACUGAGACACGGCCCAGAAUCCUACGGGAGGCAGCAGUGGGUAAUAUUGGACAAUGGGCGAAAGCCUGAUCCAGCAAUGCCGGGUGAGUGAUGAAGGCCUUAGGGUUGUAAAGCUCUUUUACCCGGGAUGAUAAUGACAGUACCGGGUGAAUAAGCUCCGGCUAACUCCGUG
rnacentral:rRNA from 1 species